ACACUGCCAGGCGGGGAGUUUGACUGGGGCGGUACAUCUGUCAAAGAAUAACGCAGGUGUCCUAAGGCCAGCUCAGCAAGAACAGAAACCUCGCGUAGAGCAAGUCUUGGUUCACUUUUGAAAAGAUAACACUGUUUUUUUAGAUCAAAGCCUGCCUAAAUUUGAGGCCCUUGCAGCCAUUGAUUGACGAUCUCAUGGAUCUCGAGGCGCUGACUCCAACGCACUUUCUUAUUAGAUCACCAACGUUCACAAUACCUGAAGCAUCCACACUCGAUCUCACGGUACCCACACCAUUUCGUUGGCAGCUGCUCAGACAAAUGUAUAAGCAUUUCCGGAGCCGAUGGUCGUCAGAGAA
rnacentral:ncRNA from 1 species